GUGGGGGUAGCUUAACCGGCAGAGCACCAGGUUGCGGCCCUGAUUGGUAGCGGUUCGAUUCCUCUCCCUCACCCCA
rnacentral:tRNA from 1 species